GAUGAACGCUAGCGGGAGGCUUAACACAUGCAAGUCGAGGGGCAGCAUAGGGUAGCAAUACUCUGAUGGCGACCGGCAAACGGGUGAGUAACGCGUAUGACCAACCUACCCUGUACAGGGGGAUAACCCGGAGAAAUUCGGACUAAUAUCCCGUAAUAAUAUCCGGAGGCAUCUUUGGAUAUUUAAAGUUCCGACGGUACGGGAUGGGCAUGCGUAACAUUAACUGGUUGGUAAGGUAACGGCUUACCAAGGCUAUGAUGUUUAGGGGGUCCUGAGAGGGUGGUCCCCCACACUGGUACUGAGACACGGACCAGACUCCUACGGGAGGCAGCAGUGAGGAAUAUUGGUCAAUGGGCGCAAGCCUGAACCAGCCAUCCCGCGUGCAGGAAGACGGCCCUAUGGGUUGUAAACUGCUUUUCCAGGGAGAGAAACUUACGCACGUGUUGCGUGACUGACGGUACCCUGGGAAUAAGCAUCGGCUAACUCCGUG
rnacentral:rRNA from 1 species